rnacentral:rRNA from 1 species
AGAGUUUGAUCCUGGCUCAGGAUGAACGCUAGCUACAGGCUUAACACAUGCAAGUCGAGGGGCAGCAUUGGAGUAGCAAUACUUCAGAUGGCGACCGGCGCACGGGUGAGUAACACGUAUCCAACCUGCCGCUUACUCGGGGAUAGCCUUUCGAAAGAAAGAUUAAUACCCGAUGGUAUAAAGAGUUCGCAUGUUCUCUUUAUUAAAGAAUUUCGGUAAGCGAUGGGGAUGCGUUCCAUUAGAUAGUUGGCGGGGUAACGGCCCACCAAGUCUACGAUGGAUAGGGGUUCUGAGAGGAAGGUCCCCCACAUUGGAACUGAGACACGGUCCAAACUCCUACGGGAGGCAGCAGUGAGGAAUAUUGGUCAAUGGACGCGAGUCUGAACCAGCCAAAAGUAGCGUGAAGGAUGACUGCCCUAUGGGUUGUAAACUUCUUUUAUAAGGGAAUAAAGUGAGGGACGUGUCCCUUUUUGUAUGUACCUUAUGAAAUAACGGAUCGGCUAACUCCGUGCCAGCCGCCGC